rnacentral:rRNA from 1 species
GUCCACGCCCUAAACGAUGAGAACUAGAUGUCGGGAGGGUUUGCCUUCCGGUGUCGCAGCUAACGCGUUAAGUUCUCCGCCUGGGAAGUACGGCCGCAAGGUUGAAACUCAAAGGAAUUGACGGGACCCGCACAAGCGGUGGAGCAUGUGGUUUAAUUCGAUGCAACGCGAAGAACCUUACCUGGUCUUGACAUCCCAGGAAUCCUGCAGAGAUGCGGGAGUGCCUUCGGGAACCUGGAGACAGGUGCUGCAUGGCUGUCGU